rnacentral:lncRNA from 1 species
AGUCGCCUGCAAGCGUUAUUUCCCCAGAAAGCCAGCUAGAGGAGUAGAUUGACAGCUUAACAGAAAAUUAACCUACAAGAGGAUCCAGCCCGCGGAUCGCAUUUCAAAAAAAGAAAAAAAGAAAAAAAAGAAAAAAAGAAAAAAAGAAAGAAAAAAAAACCUAAUUGAAGGGUCUUUACAACAUGUUCUAGCCUGAAGAAUAUGUACGAAGCCCAAAAAGUGGAAUAUUCUCGAAGUUGCAUAUCU